UUAGCUGAGAGGUGGUGCAUGGCCGUCGUCAGUUCGUACUGUGAAGCAUCCUGUUAAGUCAGGCAACGAGCGAGACCCACGUCCACAGUUGCCAGCAUACCCUCCGGGGUGAUGGGUACACUGUGGAGACCGCCGCUGCUAAAGCGGAGGAAGGAAUGGGCAACGGUAGGUCAGUAUGCCCCGAAUCUCCCGGGCUACACGCGGGCUACAAUGGUUGGUACAAUGGGCAUCUACCCCGAAAGGGGAAGGAAAUCUCUUAAAGCCAAUCGUAGUUCGGAUUGAGGGCUGCAACUCGCCCUCAUGAAGCUGGAAUCCGUAGUAAUCGCGUUUCAACAGAACGCGGUGAAUACGUCCCUGCUCCUU
rnacentral:rRNA from 1 species